rnacentral:rRNA from 1 species
UACAGAGGAGCCAAGCGUUGUCCGGAUUGACUGGGCGUAAAGCGCACGCAGGCGGAUACGCGCGUGGGGUGUGAAAUCUGGCCGCUUAACGGCCAGGCGCCAUCCCAUACGGCGCGUCUGGAGUGAUGCAGAGGUCGAUGGAAUUGCCGGUGUAGUGGUGAAAUGCGUAGAGAUCGGCAGGAACACCCAGGGGGAAACCAGUCGACUGGGCAUCUACUGACGCUGAGGUGCGAGAGCGUGGGGAGCGAACCGG